rnacentral:rRNA from 2 species
CCCGGGGUUAAAAACAGGANNGAACNAGUUCUUGUNUAGAAGAGCNUCCNCUCUGUUUAUAUUUGAACGGCUGNGGGACGGGUGAGUAACCGUGGGUAACCUGCCCUUAAGUGGGGGAUACAUUUGGAAACAGAUGCUAAUUACCGCAUAAAUCCAAGAANCCGCAUGGUUCUUGGCUGAAAGAUGGCGUAAGCUAUCGCUUUUGGAUGGACCCGCGGCGUAUUAGCUAGUUGGUGAGGUAACGGCUCACCAAGGCAAUGAUACGUAGCCGAACUGAGAGGUUGAUCGGCCCCAUUGGGACUGAGACACGGCCCAAACUCCUACGGGAGGCAGCAGUAGGGAAUCUUCCACAAUGGACGCAAGUCUGAUGGAGCAACGCCGCGUGAGUGAAGAAGGCUUUCGGGUCGUAAAACUCUGUUGUUGGAGAAGAAUGGUCGGCAGAGUAACUGUUGUCGGCGUGACGGUAUCCAACCAGAAAGCCACGGCUAACUACGUGCCAGCAGCCGCGGUAAUACGUAGGUGGCAAGCGUUAUCCGGAUUUAUUGGGCGUAAAGCGAGCGCAGGCGGUUUUUUAAGUCUGAUGUGAAAGCCCUCGGCUUAACCGAGGAAGUGCAUCGGAAACUGGGAAACUUGAGUGCAGAAGAGGACAGUGGAACUCCAUGUGUAGCGGUGAAAUGCGUAGAUAUAUGGAAGAACACCAGUGGCGAAGGCGGCUGUCUGGUCUGUAACUGACGCUGAGGCUCGAAAGCAUGGGUAGCGAACAGGAUUAGAUACCCUGGUAGUCCAUGCCGUAAACGAUGAAUGCUAGGUGUUGGAGGGUUUCCGCCCUUCAGUGCCGCAGCUAACGCAUUAAGCAUUCCGCCUGGGGAGUACGACCGCAAGGUUGAAACUCAAAGGAAUUGACGGGGGCCCGCACAAGCGGUGGAGCAUGUGGUUUAAUUCGAAGCAACGCGAAGAACCUUACCAGGUCUUGACAUCUUUUGAUCACCUGAGAGAUCAGGUUUCCCCUUCGGGGGCAAAAUGACAGGUGGUGCAUGGUUGUCGUCAGCUCGUGUCGUGAGAUGUUGGGUUAAGUCCCGCAACGAGCGCAACCCUUAUGACUAGUUGCCAGCAUUUAGUUGGGCACUCUAGUAAGACUGCCGGUGACAAACCGGAGGAAGGUGGGGAUGACGUCAAAUCAUCAUGCCCCUUAUGACCUGGGCUACACACGUGCUACAAUGGAUGGUACAACGAGUUGCGAGACCGCGAGGUCAAGCUAAUCUCUUAAAGCCAUUCUCAGUUCGGACUGUAGGCUGCAACUCGCCUACACGAAGUCGGAAUCGCUAGUAAUCGCGGAUCAGCACGCCGCGGUGAAUACGUUCCCGGGCCUUGUACACACCGCCCGUCACACCAUGAGAGUUUGUAACACCCGAAGCCGGUGGCGUAACCCUUUUAGGGAGCGAGCCGUCUAAGGUGACAACG